AUGGCGUAGUCGAGGACGACCCACUCGUAGCGGGUGGCCGACAGGAUGGCGACACGGUCGCCGAGUUCGAUGCCCGAUGCGAUG
rnacentral:tRNA from 1 species